rnacentral:sRNA from 12 species
CAAAUAGAGCGCUAGGGUUCCGGCUGAGCUGUUCAGUGACUGGUCCAAGAGCACUCGACCUNUCAGACAAAGGUUACACGGCGGGACAAAAGCCCGGGAGAC